GAUUAUAUAGCGCAAUGGUAGCGCAUUUGCUUUUAUAACGGGAAAUCCUGGGUUUAACUCCCAAUGUAACCG
rnacentral:tRNA from 1 species